UAUUAAAGUACCUGUUUGGAUCC
rnacentral:piRNA from 1 species